rnacentral:pre_miRNA from 1 species
AAAAAGACAAACCCUGGGUUUCCGUGUCCAACUUUUGACCGUCCAUCUUAUUUGAAAAAAUUAUGAAAAAAAUUAAAAAGAUAAGUCAUACAUAAAGUAUUAAUCAUGUUUUAUCACAUAACAUCAAUAAAAAUACUGAUUAUAAAAAAAUUUCAUAUAAAACGGACAGUCAAACGUUGGACACGGAAACCCAGGGUUUGUCUUUUU